AAUGAUUGGCUCUCAUAUGUCGAAGCACAACUGCUUACUCACUUGGGACAUUUAUAUGGGCUGUCUCUCUCACACAGUUCUGCCCAGCUUCACACAUCUAGCAUCCCUGUGCAGUUCUUCUGGCAUUUUUAGCCACCCAGCAAGCACCAUAACCACCACCACAGCAAGAAAACAUCCUAGCAAAGGAACAGUGCUCGUCAUGUCAGUGUCCACAAUAUCAGAGCUCAUAUCCAGCAGGGAGGAUUCAGACAUCUGGCAUAUGUAUGUGUGGUGAAGGUUCAUCACCUAAAGGAAUAAAGAGGAGAAACAACCUAUGAUGUACAAACAAACCAGCGGGGAGCAGAUGCUGCACAUCAUCUUUUAAAAAGUGAUUGACCUUCCCUCAUUAGAAGCGGCAGUAAGAGUCAGUAUGCUAACUCCGAGCCCAUGCUACAACUUAGAAACAUCUAACAGUUAUAGAACCACAGUAAAGACUCCACAGUAAAAAAUGCAAGAUGUGUAUUCCAUUCAAACUCUGAAUUCUCCACUCUAUUUACACCUAUUUAAGUCUACUGGACU